ensembl:lncRNA
AUGCGGACAAGCGCUGCGAUCCCAGGGGGAGAUGCCUGGCGCCUGGACAGGACCUUGGGGUGGAGGGGGUGGGUGAGCAGCGGAAAGCCUGGCAGGGGACAGUUCACCAGAGAAGAGCGUGAGAGGAGAGGCAGGAAAGGCAGGGAUGAGGCUUCUCAGGAAUUCCACCCCCAGGAGACCCGGGUCCGAGGGGGGAAGGAGAGGCGGCCAGAGGACCCAAGCUUCUCAGGAGCAGGAACGAGGGCGGCGGAAACAGAAGACAGCGCCGCGGAGGAGGGGACCUCGAGGUGGAAGAAAGCGUGGACAGAGCAAGCGACCCCGCAGGCGCGGGGCGUGGAACAGCGCCCACGUGCUUCCGUCACAGCAACAGGGGGAUGCUGUCACAGCGGGGCAGGAAACGCGCGACGAGGCCCCUGGGCCCGAGCCCGAGGUCGCCCGGGCCCCUCUCUCUGCAGAGGAUGCCCUGCCGUCUUCCUGCUCCGGGCAUCCUCUCCGCCCAAAGGCCGUCCCUGGGCUGUCGCAGGGAACCCCGCCGGCCCUGCCUCGCCCUCCGCGGAAGCCGGGACCCACGCGUUAGUGAUCGCGCGACAGCAUCGCUGUCUUUCUCUGCAGCACCUACGGGACCUACGCCAGGAAGCCGGCCCCUCCUCAGCAGUCAGACCCAGCAAGGUGUUGCCUCCGGCCUACUCAUGCCAACUCAAUGCGCAAUUUUUAUUUAUUUUUUAAUUAAAAAAUUAUUAUAGUUCAUUUACAAUGGUCUGUCCAUUUCUUUUUUUUUCUUUCUUUCUUUUUUUGUCUUUUUGCCAUUUUCUUGGACCACUCCCACAGCAUAUGGAGGUUCCCAGGCUAGGGGUCGAAUCGGAGCUGUAGCAACACCAGAGCCACAGCAAUGUGUCUGCGACCUACACCACACUCACGGCAAUGCCGGAUCCUUAACCCACUGAGCAAGGCCAGGGAUUGAACCCGCAACCUCAUGGUUCCUAGUGGGAUUCGUUAGCCACUGAGCCACCACGGGAACUCCUGGUCUGUCAAUUUCUACCACACUGCAAAGCGACCCAGUGAGACAUAUACAUACAUUCUUUUUCUCACAUUACCCCAUGUUCCAUCGCAAGAGACUGGACAUAGUUCCCUGUGCGGUACA